GAUGAACGCUGGCGGCGUGCCUAAUACAUGCAAGUCGAGCGAACAGACGAGGAGCUUGCUCCUCUGACGUUAGCGGCGGACGGGUGAGUAACACGUGGAUAACCUACCUAUAAGACUGGGAUAACUUCGGGAAACCGGAGCUAAUACCGGAUAACAUGUUGAACCGCAUGGUUCAACAGUGAAAGACGGUCUUGCUGUCACUUAUAGAUGGAUCCGCGCCGCAUUAGCUAGUUGGUAAGGUAACGGCUUACCAAGGCAACGAUGCGUAGCCGACCUGAGAGAGUGAUCCGCCACACUGGAACUGAGACACAGUCCAGACUCCUACGGGAGGCAGCAGUAGGGAAUCUUCCGGAAUGGGCGAAAGCCUGACGGAGCAACGCCGCGUGAGUGAAGAAGGUCUUCGGAUCGUAAAACUCUGUUAUUAGGGAAGAACAAAUGUGUAAGUAACUAUGCUCGUCUUGACGGUACCUAAUCAGAAAGCCACGGCUAACUACGUG
rnacentral:rRNA from 1 species